GUAGGGAAUAUUGGACAAUGGGCGCAAGCCUGAUCCAGCCAUACCGCGUGGGUGAAGAAGGCCUUCGGGUUGUAAAGCCCUUUUGUUGGGAAAGAAAUCCUAUCGAUUAAUACUCGGUGGGGAUGACGGUACCCAAAGAAUAAGCACCGGCUAACUUCGUGCCAGCAGCCGCGGUAAUACGAAGGGUGCAAGCGUUACUCGGAAUUACUGGGCGUAAAGCGUGCGUAGGUGGUUGUUUAAGUCUGCUGUGAAAGCCCUGGGCUCAACCUGGGAAUUGCAGUGGAUACUGGGCAACUAGAGUGUGGUAGAGGGAUGCGGAAUUUCUGGUGUAGCAGUGAAAUGCGUAGAGAUCAGAAGGAACAUCCGUGGCGAAGGCGGCAUCCUGGGCCAACACUGACACUGAGGCACGAAAGCGUGGGGAGCAAACAGGAUUAGAAACCCGGGUAGUCC
rnacentral:rRNA from 1 species